rnacentral:rRNA from 1 species
CCUACGGGAGGCUGCAGUGGGGAAUAUUGGACAAUGGGGGGAACCCUGAUCCAGCCAUGCCGCGUGUGUGAAGAAGGCCCUCGGGUUGUAAAGCACUUUCAGUGAGGAAGAACGCCUGGUGGUUAAUACCCAUCAGGAAAGACAUCACUCACAGAAGAAGCACCGGCUAACUCCGUGCCAGCAGCCGCGGUAAUACGGAGGGUGCGAGCGUUAAUCGGAAUUACUGGGCGUAAAGCGCGCGUAGGUGGCUUGAUAAGCCGGUUGUGAAAGCCCCGGGCUCAACCUGGGAACGGCAUCCGGAACUGUCGAGCUAGAGUGCAGGAGAGGAAGGUAGAAUUCCCGGUGUAGCGGUGAAAUGCGUAGAGAUCGGGAGGAAUACCAGUGGCGAAGGCGGCCUUCUGGACUGCCACUGACACUGAGGUGCGAAAGCGUGGGUAGCAAACAGGAUUAGAUACCCCAGUAGUC